CGGUGGAUCACUUGGCUCGUGGGUCGAUGAAGAACGCAGCUAAUUGCGCGUCAACUUGUGAACUGCAGGACACAUGAACAUCGACACUUCGAACGCACAUUGCGGUCCA
rnacentral:rRNA from 1 species